GCGGGUGUAGCACAAUGGUAGUGCAGCAGCCUUCCAAGCUGAAUACGUGGGUCCGAUUCCCAUCACCCGCUCCA
rnacentral:tRNA from 1 species